rnacentral:lncRNA from 1 species
UUGAAUCUUUGAAGAGCUGUUUGGCGAAUCCCUUCACAACUGUUUUUUGAGAAUGGUGGAAUUGAUAGCUUGUUUGAGAUUCUGUCUUUGCAAGGUUCUGAAACCAGUUCAGAGUGUGCAUAUGCUAUCAAGGUUUGCCCUGUAACUUGUUCUAUAUAAUAUGACACAGUUUUUCAUCUUUGUAUCUUUUCUCAUGGCUUCACUUUUCAUUUUUUAUUCUCUCUCUUAAAAUUAAUAUUGACUUUGUUUUCUGGUGAGAGCAAUUAACAUAUAUAUGCUCAAACAAAAUCAUAACUUUUUCCCAUUCUUGAUAGAUUAAUAUUGACUUUGUUUGCUGGUGAGAGCAUAAUGUAGAAUUUUCCUCCGUGCCAGUCAUGGUCCACUGUAGAGUGAAGAUAUCUUAAUUAAUAUGUAAAUAACAAAGGGAAUGUAUGCCCUAGUCCCUUGGUUAUCAGUUGCUAGGGAAAUUGUUAUUUGAUCUGGAUAUAGCACUUUAUCCUGAUUUUUCUGGUUCUUCAAUAUGAACUUCGUAACUGGCCCAUCUUCCUCUUUAAGGGCAAUAUGCUGGUGUGUUUUCAAAAGAAUAGAUUGGUUCACGAGCACAUAAAUCUCUUGGCAUUGCAAAAGCUUGCUUAUUGACAUUGAUUUUUCAAGUUAAAACUUUUCAUGAAGACACACUGGGAAUGUGGAUUUGACGUUGAUAGCUAUAUUUCUUUGCUAUGUUAGGAGCUGGACUAGAUGCUUGUCACUUGGUAUUUAUUUUAUAAUGGUACUACAGGAUCAAUUUCAUUUUAUUUUUUUUGGGUUCCAGGACUCAUCCCUCACAGACUAAGGGUGUUUUGUGAAGGCCGGUGAUCCAUAUGAUUAUGACCCAUUGUGCCAGACAAGAAGCAAGUGUAUAGUUUACGGGCUGUAAUUGGAAAGACAUACUGUACUUUAAAACAUUGAAAUAUAGAUAGAGGCUGAAGUAGUCACAAAGAUGUUUGUUGGAAACGAACUGGAGCAUAUGAAUAAUGAAAUUUCGGAGGCUCUGACUACAUGCUUUUGCUUGAGAAGAGAAUAUUGUAUGUGUAUGAAACUGACAUCGUCCUCUCUGUCCACCACCUGAAGUAGCAAGCCAUAUAAUGAUUAAUCUGUGUUUUCUGUAGAAAAUCAGAGGAAUAUGAGAAACAUGUUCUUUUCAUCCUUGUAGCAUGUAAUGCA